rfam:Ornithorhynchus anatinus Cont135.83, whole genome shotgun sequence.
GCUUUCUGAACAUCUGGUGUAGCUACAGAGAAACCACGUCCCUUCAGAGAGC